AUGUCUUUUCUAAACAGGUGUGUGUGUGUCUCAGUCAGAUCCAUAAUUGUGUCUCUAAAAUCCUUUUGGUCCAUGUUCAGUGAUGCAUGACUCAGUUCCUGCAGUAAAACAGUCAGAUCCAUCAUCUCCAAAUGGAUCCUUUAUCCUGAUCAUGUCGGUUAAACUAAGUCUGAACUCUGUUGGAUUCAUAGGGACAUGAUCGACUCAACUGGAAAGGACUGAACUGAGCUGAAC